rnacentral:rRNA from 1 species
UAAGCGACUAAGCGUACACGGUGGAUGCCCUGGCAGUCAGAGGCGAUGAAGGACGUGCUAAUCUGCGAAAAGCGCCGGCGAGGUGAUAUGAACCUUUGACCCGGCGAUGUCCGAAUGGGGAAACCCAGUGUGUUUCGACACACUAUCGUUAACUGAAUACAUAGGUUAACGAGGCGAACCGGGGGAACUGAAACAUCUAAGUACCCCGAGGAAAAGAAAUCAACCGAGAUUCCCCCAGUAGCGGCGAGCGAACGGGGAGCAGCCCGGAGUCUGAAUCAGUUUGUGUGUUAGUGGAACGGUCUGGAAAGUCCGACGGUACAGGGUGAUAGUCCCGUACACGAAAAUGCACAUGCUGUGAACUCGAAGAGUAGGGCGGGACACGUGGUAUCCUGUCUGAAUAUGGGGGGACCAUCCUCCAAGGCUAAAUACUCCUGACUGACCGAUAGUGAACCAGUACCGUGAGGGAAAGGCGAAAAGAACCCCGGCGAGGGGAGUGAAAAAGAACCUGAAACCGUGUACGUACAAGCAGUGGGAGCCUCUUUAUGGGGUGACUGCGUACCUUUUGUAUAAUGGGUCAGCGACUUAUAUUCUGUAGCAAGGUUAACCGUAUAGGGGAGCCGAAGGGAAACCGAGUCUUAACUGGGCGUUAAGUUGCAGGGUAUAGACCCGAAACCCGGUGAUCUAGCCAUGGGCAGGUUGAAGGUUGGGUAACACUAACUGGAGGACCGAACCGACUAAUGUUGAAAAAUUAGCGGAUGACCUGUGGCUGGGGGUGAAAGGCCAAUCAAACCGGGAGAUAGCUGGUUCUCCCCGAAAGCUAUUUAGGUAGCGCCUCGUGAACUCAUCUUCGGGGGUAGAGCACUGUUUCGGCUAGGGGGCCAUCCCGGCUUACCAACCCGAUGCAAACUACGAAUACCGAAGAAUGUUAUCACGGGAGACACACGGCGGGUGCUAACGUCCGUCGUGAAGAGGGAAACAACCCAGACCGCCAGCUAAGGUCCCAAAGUCAUGGUUAAGUGGGAAACGAUGUGGGAAGGCACAGACAGCCAGGAUGUUGGCUUAGAAGCAGCCAUCAUUUAAAGAAAGCGUAAUAGCUCACUGGUCGAGUCGGCCUGCGCGGAAGAUGUAACGGGGCUAAACCAUGCACCGAAGCUGCGGCAGCGACACUAUGUGUUGUUGGGUAGGGGAGCGUUCUGUAAGCCGUUGAAGGUGUGCUGUGAGGCAUGCUGGAGGUAUCAGAAGUGCGAAUGCUGACAUAAGUAACGAUAAAGCGGGUGAAAAGCCCGCUCGCCGGAAGACCAAGGGUUCCUGUCCAACGUUAAUCGGGGCAGGGUGAGUCGACCCCUAAGGCGAGGCCGAAAGGCGUAGUCGAUGGGAAACAGGUUAAUAUUCCUGUACUUGGUGUUACUGCGAAGGGGGGACGGAGAAGGCUAUGUCAGCCGGGCGACGGUUGUCCCGGUUUAAGCAUGUAGGCGGAGGUUCCAGGUAAAUCCGGUACCUUGUUAACGCUGAGGUGUGAUGACGAGGCACUACGGUGCUGAAGUGAUAAAUGCCCUGCUUCCAGGAAAAGCCUCUAAGCAUCAGGUAACACGAAAUCGUACCCCAAACCGACACAGGUGGUCAGGUAGAGAAUACCAAGGCGCUUGAGAGAACUCGGGUGAAGGAACUAGGCAAAAUGGUGCCGUAACUUCGGGAGAAGGCACGCUGAUAUGUAGGUGAAGCCCCUGCGGGCGGAGCUGAAAUCAGUCGAAGAUACCAGCUGGCUGCAACUGUUUAUUAAAAACACAGCACUGUGCAAACACGAAAGUGGACGUAUACGGUGUGACGCCUGCCCGGUGCCGGAAGGUUAAUUGAUGGGGUUAGCGGCAACGCGAAGCUCUUGAUCGAAGCCCCGGUAAACGGCGGCCGUAACUAUAACGGUCCUAAGGUAGCGAAAUUCCUUGUCGGGUAAGUUCCGACCUGCACGAAUGGCGUAAUGAUGGCCAGGCUGUCUCCACCCGAGACUCAGUGAAAUUGAACUCGCUGUGAAGAUGCAGUGUACCCGCGGCAAGACGGAAAGACCCCGUGAACCUUUACUAUAGCUUGACACUGAACACUGGUCCUUGAUGUGUAGGAUAGGUGGGAGGCUUUGAAGCGUG